rnacentral:rRNA from 1 species
CACGUAGGGCGCGAGCGUUGUCCGGAAUUAUUGGGCGUAAAGAGCUCGUAGGCGGCCUGUUGCGUCCGCUGUGAAAGCCCGGGGCUUAACCCCGGGCUUGCGGUUGAUACGGGCGGGCUGGAGUUCGGUAGGGGAGACUGGAAUUCCUGGUGUAGCGGUGAAAUGCGCAGAUAUCAGGAGGAACACCGGUGGCGAAGGCGGGUCUCUGGGCCGAUACUGACGCUGAGGAGCGAAAGCGUGGGGAGCGAACAGG